CAUCCUAAUAUCAUUGGUGCCGACAUGAAUAACAAUGUGGCUAUAUCUAGUGUUGUGUUCCUUUGUCUGACUAUCCUUUCACAAUGUCAGCAC